CUGGCGGCGUGCCUAAUACAUGCAAGUCGAACGGUCUUUCUAUGGAAGCUUGCUUCCACUGAGAAGAUAGUGGCAACGGGUGAGUAACACGUGGGGUAACCUGCCCAUAAGAGGGGGGAUAACAUCCGGAAACGGGUGCUAAUACCGCAUAGUUUUCUUGAUCGCAUGAUCGGGAAAGGAAAGACGGCCUUUGUGCUGUCGCUUAUGGAUGGACCCGCGGCGUAUUAGUUAGUUGGUGAGGUAACGGCUCACCAAGACGAUGAUACGUAGCCGACCUGAGAGGGUGAUCGGCCACAUUGGGACUGAGACACGGCCCAAACUCCUACGGGAGGCAGCAGUAGGGAAUCUUCCGCAAUGGACGAAAGUCUGACGGAGCAACGCCGCGUGAGUGAAGAAAGGUUUUCGGAUCGUAAAACUCUGUUGUCAGAGAAGAACAAGUUGGAGAGUAACUGCUCCAGCCUUGACGGUAUCUGACCAGAAAGCCACGGCUAACUACGUGCCAGCCGCAGC
rnacentral:rRNA from 1 species